GCCUGGCGUGGUGGUGCGAGCCUAUAUCUCAACUACUCAGGAAGCUGAGGCCGAGGGAUCGCUGGCGUCCAGGAGUUCUGGGCUGCAGUGAGCUGUGCUGGCCUGGUGGCCACACUAAGUUCGGCAUCAACAUGGUGACCUCCCAGCAGGGGACUGCCAGGUGGCCUAAGGAGGGUUGAACCAGCCCAGGUCAGAAAAGAAGCAAGUCAAUACUCCUGUGCUGUUCAGGAGUGGGAUUGCGCCUCUAAAUCGCCACCGCAUUUCAGCUUGAGGGACAUAGCGAGACCUGUCUCU
rnacentral:SRP_RNA from 1 species